GCCCAAAUUGGCUGAGUGGUCUAAAGCACUCACUGUCAUGGAUCACUCCCAUCUCAUCACUCUCUGCAUGGGUUCAAGUCUCAGAUUUGGCC